rnacentral:lncRNA from 10 species
AUUAUACUGUUCUCUCUAGCAAAAACGUUGCUUCCCAGGUAAUUAAGAAAAGGUACAGAGUAACAGUCCACCUAUGGGAACGCAGGAAGUAAUGGAAGGCAAGAACUCCAGCUGGCGAGAGAAAGAUACUGUGCAGAGGAGCAGAAAUCUCCCUGAGCCCUGUGAGCGCUGGGGCUGAGGCCCUGCCCCCUUCUGCAUCUGCUGGGCAGUGGGAAGAGGAGGGAGAGAUAGGCACAAGAAAUUAGGUAGCGAAUGGUCCAUGUUGUCUCCUCCUGUCUAAGAGCACGCAUAGGCCUAGACCAACAGUCAGGACUGCUCUUCUGCACUACCAGGCUGACGGAGAGGAGGGGUGAGGUUUGAGCGCCCUCAUAGAGAGGAGGGCUCUGGAUUCUGGUACAUGUCAGGAAGGAUGGGGCGGGCCUUGGAGCAGGGUAAGUUUGGGAGACACUUCUGAGUGUUUAGCCACCCAAGCUCAUAGGGAUCCCAUCCUUUUGGCAGCAACUGGUAGAACUGUCCCUAGGGUCCUGCUGUGAGCAAGGAAUGGGGAGUGAGGAAUCCCUGAAGUGGGCCUCCUAAAGUGCUUUGGGUCUAGAUGGCAACAGCAGGAUGGAAAAAGGGGAUCAGGUCCUCACGUCCCUUGCCCUAUCCUUUAUGCUGAGGCUGCUGGCCUGGGUGGGAGAAAUCAGGCAGAAACACAGCCUGGUCUAGGUCCUCCCAUGGAAAAUUUCCUGUCUCCACAGCACCUAUGAGACCAAGUCCAGGCCCCUUAGCUGGCUCCCAAGGCCCUGAGUAGUCUGUCUCUCAUCACCCCUGUUCCCCAACUCAGUGUUCCAGCCCCACAGGCUUGCUGUCGGCUCCCCGAAUUCACCCAGGCUGUUCACAUUGCCAUGCUCUUGCCCAACCUUGAGUCCAUUUAUUUCAUCAUGUGGGUGCCUUUUCUGGUUUAGGACUUGUGCUGCACACAAGACCCAGAGAAGAGGAAAAUUCAUUUUGUGCCCUCAGGGUCCCCAUCCACUGAGGAAGACAGCCAUGGGAAAAGACAGUUAUGGGAAAUGAUGGCAUGUGUACACAAGGGGCAUGGACAGUGGUGUUUACUGUAGCACUGUUUGCAACUGCAAAAGACUGGGGGGCUUCAAGAACAUUCACCAGUAGAAGAUGAUUUCAAAAAGCCACGGCCCCCUUCAGACUAGGAUCCUUACAUAUUAAAACUUUUUUUUAACAUAAAGUUAUGCAAAGCCCCUAUAUAUUUUUAUAUGUACAAAUGGAAAAGAAUACAUCCCAAAUUGAGAACAGUCUCUGACAAAGACAGGGAGAAAUGGGGGAAGGGUGACCCUCAUUUUCAUUUCGUUCAAAUAUUUUAAAAAGCAGUAACACAGAGAUGAUUUUAAAAAUAAUAGUAUUUCCAGGGACAGAGGUAGCAAAGAGGAGAGGAUGACCUAGGAGACACUGACCCAGGAGGCCAUGCAGAGAAUGGCCAUGAGAAUGGCUAUGAGGAUGAUGGUCCUAUUGGGCCUGGCAGAGGACACAGGCACUGUCAGUGUUGGGCCCUGCUAUGGUUUGAAUGUGUUCCCAAAAGUACAGGUGUUGGAAACUUAAUCCCCAAUGCAACAGUGUUGAGAAGCGGGACCUUUAAGAGGCAAUCAGGUCAUGAGGGCUCUGCCCUCAUGAAUGGAUGAAUGCUGUCACUGUGGGAAUGGGUUAAUUAUCGUGGGAGUUUGGUCUCUUUUUCUCUCUUUCUUGAAUGUUUGCUUGCCCUUUUGCCAUGUUAUGAUGCAGCAAGAAGGUCUUCCCCAGAUGUGGCCCUGUGAUCUUGGACUUCCCAGUCUCCAGAACCAUUUAUUGAGCUAAAUAAAUCUCUUUUCUUUAU